UUUGCUGUUCACAGCUCACUCCACUCCCUGCCUGCCUGACACAGAAACACGCAGCCUUGUUCCUCCUCUCUGACCAGCUGUCUGUCAAAUUCACAGCUUGCUUUCAAGUAACUGCAAAAACACACCAUUGGUGGGGGUGUUGAGCAAAUACACACUUGAAGAAGUGGCACAGGAGUUUGCUUUCCUUGCAGAUAAAAUUCUGAUUGGUAUGAGCAUGGAUAGAGGAGAAACAGAAGGAGACAUGGAAGACCUGGAAGAUCAGGAAAUGCAAAAGAAAUUCAGCCCUGCUUCUCCUCAUGUGCCUGUUCACCUGAAUGCUUUCAAAAAGCCUGCAUUUUGUUUACAAGAGUGCAUCUCCCAGUCCUGCAAGCAGAUUCCGUUGCAACAGAGGCUUCUCAAAUUUUGAUUUGUCCCAUUUCCAGGGGCUGGAAGACAACUUUAUGAGUAGUGUUUGGGUUUCAGCGCAAAAGAGUUUCACCUUCCUCUCCACAUAACCUCCCCCAGUCAGAAUACAACUUUGCAUUCCCCUUGAAGGAUAGAAGAGGAAGAUUAAAUCAGACCAUUAUUUUCAAAUGAGGAUUCCUUUUCAUCUGAAAGAAAAAAAAAAAAAAAGAAAAAAAAGGAAAAAAAGCUUUAAUUGCAUGCUGUGCCAGAAAUAUGUAGCACAAAAAAGUGCAUAUAUUUUGAGACCAAACUUGAAACCACAGAAGCCCCAAACCCAAUGACUUAGAGCUGAAGUUAAAAGACAAAUAAACAAAUAAGCAAGCCUUUUCUCAUAAAACUUUUAUUUAAAUUAUGACCUUCUAAAAAAUGCCAACCCAGAAAUCCUGGAAAUUGAGCGCAUCUGCUAGAUUUUGUUCCCAUUGAGGUCAAAGAAAAAGCUCACACUAACUUCAGUAGGCUUUAUAGUGAGCCAUAUGUCCCAGAGGAUAUGGUAUCAUAGCAAUAUCAGUAGAAAAGAGAAAGUGGCAUUUAGAAAUAUAGGCAAGCAGUUCAAAUGGGAGACAUUCAAAACCCGCCUGGACACAUUCCUGUGUAGCCUCAUCUAGGUGUUCCUGCUCCAGCAGGGGAAUUGGACUAGAUGAUCUUUUGAGGUCCCUUCCAAUCCCUAACAUUCUGUGAUUCUGUGAAAUGAACCCUGCUGUUUUUACUUUUGUUUCUAAAAGCAGCUUCUGAAAUUCCCAGCUUCAAAAUGGGAAGGGAAAAUUGGUCUCUGCUCUUCCCGCACCUGGUAAAAUGAAGGAUCUAUAUCUCCAGUCUAGAUGCUAUCUGUCUACAGUUGCUUUGUGUAGAAACAGAAAAAUCUUUCUAGUAUAUCUGACUUCGUUGAGUUGUUUAUUUCUUUUAUAAACUUUACUAUUCAUCUAAGUCUUGAAGUUAACUGAAGACAAAAUGAAAAAAAGAUAGAGCCUUGUGCAUAUCAUUUCUUCAACACUUCUCAGUAACAUUGCAUUCUAGGUAACACAAUGGUCAUAGACUUUAGAUUUUUUUCUUCUGAGAAAUAGGAAAAGCUUUUUUGAAUAUAAGCAGUUUUCUUCACCCACUUAUUUUUUAAUGUAAUAUUUCUAGAAAAGAUGCACUGUACUGGGUGUACUUAGAGCAAUGGUUGUCAAAAUGCUCAAAAGUCACAUACCUUUAGAAAAAAACCCUUUACAUUUUAUAUAAUUUCUAGAUUUUUUUUCUUAUUUAGUCUGUACAUUUGCUUGUAAAGGCACAUAGAGUGAAAUUCUGUAUCUGCUGAAGUAAUCCACAGGUUGUAGAAUCUAAGCAUGCCUCAGCUGAUAUUUUCACUUCUCAGCUGUCUUCAGUACCAACAGCUUUAGCAGAUAGUUGAAAAAACAUGGUCAAAUCUGUGUUUCAUCUCGUUGAGAUGUAUCUUUGCAAAACCACAUUAUAAUUUAUACUCAUUAUCUGCACAGGACACUGUGGAUCUUGUGUCAGAUUAGUAUGACACUGUGUAGAUGUCUAUCCUGCUUUUGUUAUGACUGGUAAAAUAUAAAUUUUCAUACAAAUUUUCCUUUCUUGUAAUUUCUCCCUUUUCAUAUUCUCAAUAAAAAGUGACCUUUUUCACAAAAUAAUGUUUCCUUUACCCUAUCCCUUUUUGUCAAUGAAAACAUGUGACUUAUUUGUGGGACUAUGGUGGGUCCGUGGAUUCCCUGACAGAGUGCAUGGGAACAGAAAUUAGCCUUGAAGAUAUUAAGGCCUACCCGUGAGAAAGAUGGGAGUAACGGAGUAUCUGGAGAUGUUAAGGAUGUACCCGUAAGAGAGAAGGGAGUAAAAGAGUGACAUUGAUGACAGCAAAAAUAGCCAAUGAGAUGUUACUGCUGUAACUUGUAGCCAAUAGUGAAGAAACACAUGAAUUGGUUAAACUGUAUAAAAAUGCACUUUUGACAACAAAUGGCAUCUACUACUUUCAUCCUGGAAGAACUAUGUAUGUCGUUUGUCCAUCUCAACUGCGACACUUAUUUUCAGAAAAGAUAUUAUGAACAUAUUUCUGAACGAUUCUCCAUACCCCGUGCAUUUUUCUCUUCUGUGUUCUUCUGAAUAUCUGAUGCAACCCGAGAGUUUGAGAAAGACCAUAUUUUUAUUUGCUAUGUUGCUCAUCUUCCUUUGAUAUUUUCAGUGCAUUGCACCCCUUUGUCUGUAGCUCCUCAUUGCUACCAUGACACAUCUGGAUUUUGUAAAGAUUUUAUUCUGUAAGCUCUGUUUCGGGCUUGAGUCAUCUCCUGGAGAGCUAAAAGGCAAUAUCCCACCUUGGUAGUGCCUGAGUGUACCUUUUCCUUUC